AUUGAACGCUGGCGGCAGGCCUAACACAUGCAAGUCGAACGAGUGGCGGACGGGUGAGUAAUGUCUGGGAAACUGCCCGAUGGAGGGGGAUAACUACUGGAAACAGUAGCUAAUACCGCAUACCAUCGGAUGUGCCCAGAUGGGAUUAGCUGGUAGGUGGGGUAACGGCUCACCUAGGCGACGAUCCCUAGCUGGUCUGAGAGGAUGACCAGCAACACGGGAACGGAGAAACGGCCCAGACUCCUACGGGAGGCAGCAGUGGGGAAUAUUGGACAAUGGGGGAAAGCCUGAUGCAGCAAGGCCGCGUGUAUGAAGAAGGCCUUCGGGUUGUAAAGUACUUUCAGCGAGGCGGCGUUACCCGCAGAAGAAGCACCGGCUAACUCCGUGCCAGCCGCCGCGGUAAUAC
rnacentral:rRNA from 1 species